rnacentral:sRNA from 1 species
UAAAAUAUCAGUCGUCCAAAUGUUUAUUUUAAAGGAUAUAGUUUAUACAUGUACAGGUAUGAAACUGAAAGCAUGCUUCAACAAAGUUGCAAGACAGGCUCAGUGGAUGUUCGAUUUUGUUUCCAUGGUUCUUAAACGGUUUCCUUUUUUGGACCAAAACAGCUUUAAUGUUGCAUUGAAGAGUAUUAUAAAGCACAAAAAUUGAUCAUGAUAUAUAGGUCUCCAGUCAAGUAUUUUUCCAAAAUGACUGAAUACCAUAUCUUGAAAUGAUGAAGAUAUCUUGCUUGUAAAUCAAGUGAUCUGAAUGCAGAGUGUAGCUCUGAACUUUGAUUCUUUGAAUUCUGAUUUUGGAUGAGUACUCAAGUUGUAUAAUACAUUUGUUAGAUCUAUUGGUUCAUGCUUUGAUUUUUGCAUUGGUGGUGGUCAUUUUUAUAAAGAUCCUUGAGAAUGGCACACGUUUUCUCAAUAUUUUGGUUUUCUAAGCAUUCCAAAAGGAUGACUUGCAUCAAUAUAUCUGGUAUACAAGAUUUGCAGUCCUGUACUACAAAUAGAGAGGUUGUUCAGUGAUCUAUGAUUAAAUUUAUUCACAUGUACCUUCAUAAUAGGAUUUUAAUGAAGUUUGCUUUCAUCCAGAUUUGUCAUUAAAAGUGAUUCCUUACAGGUUUAGAAAUUUUAUUUAGUAUUUAUCAAUUUAUUUACAUAUAUAUUUAAUUUACAAGAAACCUAAGUUUUUAAAAAUUGUUGAAACUUAUUUGUGUAAAUGAUGUUGCUGUCAAUAUUUUUUAUACAUAUGACAUCGAAGUGUAUUGAUCAAAAUUUACUGUAUCGAUGAGAACUUUAAGCUUUAUGUAAACUGUGAAAAAAAUAUGUGCCAAGGCUGAAGGGAGAGUGGACGUGUUAAUAUUUUGUGUUGCAAAGUAGAGCUUUGCUGAAAUAGCCUAGCACUGGCUGUGGUUGAGUGCAAGUACAUGUAACUAGAAUGUAUAUUAUACUUAUUACUGUGUUGUUACCAGAAGUUUGUACAGUAUCGAUAUAAAGAAAAUAAAUUUGUGGUAGACUU